rnacentral:sRNA from 1 species
GUCCGGAGACGUCGGCGGGGG